AGAAAGUCCCCGUGGUGCAUCCGACUUUUUCUUUCGGUUUUUCUCUAUUUUGUUUUGCUAAAAAUGUAUGAUUCUAUAACGUUUAGACCGUCAGGCCAAACUUGGCAUGUGAUACCUUUUCGGAAGCCCAAAGAGAGCUCUCCGAUGAAUGAGGAAGCAAAAUGGAAUUCUUCUAUUGUUUUUUUUUUCUAUUCCAAAUUUUGAGCUUAAUGUACUUUUUCGGGCCUUUUCGUGAUCUUUGCUAUAUUACGGGGCGAAAAUUAUAUGUUUGGACAUUGUUUUCGAAUAUUUUGCAUGUAUCAAAGCUCAGAUAAACAAGAUAGGGUAUUCCUACAUACCUGGUGGGACCCACGGCAAAUGGAUAGUAAAAUCUUCAAAAAAGAAUAGAUACUAUUGCAUUGCAUGUAGUAAUGGAUGCGAUCAUAUCAGCACUAACGCACCGGAUCCCAUCAAAACUCCACAGUUAAGCGUGUUUGGGCGAGAGUAGUACUAGGAUGGGGGACCUACCAAAAAGUCCUCGUGGUGCAUCCCACUUUUUCUUUCGGUUUUUCUCUAUUUUGUUUUGUUAAAAAUGUAUGACUCUAUAACGUUUAGACCGUCAGGCCAAACUUGGCAUGUGAUACCUUUUCGGAAAGCCCAAAGAGAGCUCUCCGAUGAAUGAGGAAGCAAAAUGAAAUUCUUCUAUUGUUUUUUUUUCUAUUCCAAAUUUUGACCUUAAUGUAGUUUUUCGGGCCUUUUCGUGAUCUUUGCUAUGUUCGGACAUUGUUUUCGAAUAUUUUUCAUGUAUCAAAGCUCUUAUAAACAAGAUAUCGUAUUCCUACAUGGCUGGUGUGACCCACGACAAAUGGAUCAUAAAGUUUUCAAAAAAGAAUAGAUACGAUUGCAUUGCAUGUAGUAAACGGAUGCGAUCAUACCAGCACUAAUGCACCGGAUCCCAUCAAAACUCUACACUUAAGCGUGCUUGGGAGAGAGUAGUACUAGGAUGGGUGACCUCCAAGAAAGUCCUCGUGUUGCAUCCCUCUUUUCUUUUUUCGGUUUUUCUCUAUGUUUUUUUGUUAAAAUUGUAUGACUCUUUAACUUUUAGACCGUGAGGCCAAACUUCGCAUGUGAUACCUUUUCAGAAAGCCCAAAGAGAGCUCUCCGGUGAAUGAGGAAGGAAAAUUGAAUUUUUCUAUUGGUUUUUUUUUCUACUCCAAAUUUUGACGUUAAUGUACUUUUUGGGGCCUUUUCGUGAUCUUUGCUAUAUUACGGAGCGAAAAUUAUAUGUUUGGACAUUGUUUUCGAAUAUUUUGCAUGUAUCAAAGCUCUGAUAAACAAGAUAGGGUAUUCCUACAUAGCUGGUGGGACCCACGGCAAAUGGAUCGUAAAGUCUUCGAAAAAGAAUAGAUACGAUUGCAUUGCAUGUAGUAACGGAUGCGAUCAUACCAGCACUAACGCACCGGAUCCCAUCAAAACUGUGCAGUUAAGCGUGUUUGGGCGAGACUAGUACUAGGAUGGGUGACCUCACGGAAAGUCCUCGUGUUGGAUCCCUCUUUUCUUUUUUCGAUUUUUGUCCUCUUUUUUUUGUUAAGAAUGUAUGACUCUAUUACUUUUAGACAGUGAGGCCAAACUUCGCAUGUGAUACCUUUUCGGAAAGCCCAAAAAGAGCUCUCUGAUGAAUGAGGAAGGAAAAUUGAAUUCUUCUAUUC
rnacentral:sRNA from 1 species